UUUUUUUUUUUUUUUUUUUUUUUUUUUGCUUUUUAGGGCCACACCCACGGCAUAUGGAGGUUCCCAGGCUAGGGGUCUAACUGGAGCUGUAGCCGCCGGCCUAUGCCACUCCCAUAGCAACGCCAGAUCCGAACUGCAUCUGCAACCUACACCACAGCUCACAGUGAUGCCGGAUCGUUAACCCACUGAGCGAGGCCAGGGAUCGAACCCACAACCUCAUGGUUCCCAGUCGGAUUCGUCUCCAUUGUGCCACGACGGGAACUCAGCCAGACAUGGUUUAAAUCACUUAUUCUCCUCCAUAUUCUAUUAAUUCACAAAACACAGGUGAAAAAUGUGACACCCACUUGAAUAGGAUUGAGCUAGACUUUCUUCCAACCCAGGAGGAAUAGAUACUUACAAGACAAUACUUUUGUGCUGGUUCUAACAGCAUAGUCAUUAGCACCUGAUUGUCAAAGGGCAGGUUUAAAGUAAAGACUAAGCAUUGAAGGCAUGCCCUAAUUUGUGUGCACAACUCUAGGACACAAAACAAAGAAGGAGUCCAUGAGAUUGUGUUCCCUGACAGCUCAGGUCCUUUCUGGGCAUGACAAAGAUGUUGCCUGAAAGGCUGACUCUAUUGACAGCGGAAGGCAAGCUAGGUAGAAAUGGACUGUUACUGAAUGAAAAUUAUGGAAAAAUUCACGCAACCUCUUUCUUUUUUUAGGUGCCCCUUUUUCCUGAGUUUGAAUGCCCAAGUGUUCUACAAUAAGUGGAAUUUUGCUAAGUUUUAUACAUUUUCAUUAUUUUUAUCUUUCAGAUGGAGAAACAGUCCAUCUAACACAUAUAAGGACUUUCAAUGAACGGGAUGUUUAAAGGCUCUAAGUGUGGAAAUGAAUGGGUCAGCACAAUCGAUACGGGGUAGGUGAAAUAUACAUUUAUCUUUGCUGCUUAUAGUUAAAAGAAGCAUUUCGUCAAAAGACUUUCUCAUUGAUCCACUUUGGGCUACAGAGCUUACUUUUUGUUGUUGUUGCGAUUUAUCUUACUAAGGAUAUUCUACACUAUUCUCCUUCCCAAACUAAAGCCUGAUUUUGCAAUAAAAAAUGAUGCAUGAUAGAGUUUCCUGGUGACUCAGUGAGUUAAGGAUCCAGUGUCAUUGCUGUGGCUCUGGUUACUGCUGUGGACAUGGGUUUGAUCCCUGACCUGGGAACUUCUACAUGCUGUGGGCACGGCCAAAAAAAAAAAAAAAAAGGAAAGAAAGAAAGAAAAAAGAAAAGGUAGAUGUUUAAAAGACCAAUCUACUUAGAUGUGCUUGGAGUACUUUCACACUGGCAUGGACCAAAGUCUGAGCAUCCUUUUAAAGAUUUUCCAGUUUGCUAGAUGAGCAGACUGCAGGUGUACUUUGGUAAAAACAUGAGAUGGUUAAUUACUUAACUGCUGAUUGAUAAAUAGAUGGCUUGGUGUGAUUGAGAAAUAAUAGAUUAUACACUACUUGAGGGCAGGAACUUUUUUUUUUGGACGCUUCACAAUGUCUGUGAGAACUAUACAUUAAUAAAUGCUUAUUAGAUGAAACAAUACAUGAAUUAAUAUAUAAUAAACCAAGUUUGCAGUAUCAAAAAUUUCUCUAGGGUACCAAAGACCUUUUGUCUAUUCAUAAGAAACUUCUAUCACUUUGGAAGAGGUAAUAAAACAAUCAGGUCCCAAGACGGUAUAUGUAACUGGGAUAAAGAGGGACUCAAAAACUUUUGCAUUUAUGUCAAUGGCAUGGAGGUAAUGCUAUUACAAAACUCAGUACUUAUAGGACUCAGAAAUCUACCAGAAUGCUUAAUCUUACAAUAAAAUGAAGUAUUUCUCGCUUAUAUCCUUCAAGUUUCAACCAAUCUAUUUUGUGGCAAUUCAAGGAUGACAGUUCAUGUGGUCGAUUUUUGUUGAAUACAAUCAAAUGUUCAUUGGAGAGCAAGCAAUCAUCUGCAAACAGCAUAUCUAUGUAUCCCAUGAAAUGUAGAUUCACUUUUAAAACCAGAAUAUGCUUUGGUUCAGUCACCUGAAGUGUAAAAGAAGAGUAAUUAAGAGGUGACCAAAGAUUAAGCUCAAGUUUAUCAAAUUUAUCAAAGAAGAAACCUUGUUAAAGUAUUUUUUCAAGUUAAUACAUAACAACCAUUCUUCCAGUUGGCAGUUUAGCUAGCGUCGAAAAGAGACAAGAAAACAGAUGUGUUCUAUGUGUCUAUUUAUUGCACCUUACCUUAACUUGAAAUUAUUUAGCACUGAUCUGCUAGAUGUGUAUGUGUGCGUUGUAGAGAAAGGGUUUCAAAUCAGCCACGUAAGUAGUCUAUUACUAGUGUAAAAUAAAUGUCACUUAAUAUCAGUAUACCAUAGGAAUAGCUACAUUGCUCAAAAACACAUAAUCCUGAUAUAUAGCAUAGUUACUUUAGAAUUGUCUAUCCUCACACAUUGAGUGUCUCUAUACCCAGCACAGUGAAAGAUAGAGCCUAAAAAGGUUGGGGUAGGGGGAAACUGCUGCUGUCAGUUUUUAAAGAUAGUAUGUGGAACAAAAUAAUUCUAGAUUACCAAGCGGUUAAAAUAGGGACACAGAGAGAGAAUGCUGGAAGAUGGCAGAUUCCUCUGCUUUCAUCUAAGGGAGGAAAAGAAAAGAGCCACAGUAAGAUUUCAAAUUUAAAAGAAAGAGACUUCCGAUCUCAAGGCAGGAUAUAAUACCACCUGGCACAUAAUAUACCUGAUAGAUACACAGAACAAAUGAUUAUGACUAUAAUCAAAUUCAACUUAAAGUUUAAGCAGAAUCCCAAAGAAGUCUCUUGUCCCUACACAGAUGUGCAGAUCUCAAUAUGCUUUUUUUUUUUUUUUUUUUUUUUUGUCUUUUUAGGGUCACACCUGCAGCAUAUGGAGGUUCCCAGACUAGGGGUCAAACUGGAGCUGGAGCUGCUGGUCUACACCAUAGCUCACGAAAAUGCCAGAUGCUUAGCCCACUGAGUGAGACCAGGGAUCGAACCUACGUCCUCAUGGAUUCUACUCAGAUUUGUUUCCGCUGCACCACAACGGGAACUUCUCAAUAUGCUUUUGAGACAAGAGAGAUCUGGCAUUUUACUUCUUUACUGGGGACUGAAAAAGAUGACCUUUGGCUUUUUAACCAGCCAUUUCAUUAAUGGCAUCAAUAGUGGAUGGCAGCAACAUGGAAAUGUAUGCUGGAUAUUUGGAUGGUUGAAAUACUAUGUACAAUCAAUAGCUUAUAACCAGUGAAAAUAAUAAGAACAUAAUUCAGCAUGUCUAAGAUAAGAUACAAAAAGCAGAGAAAGUGCUUCAGUCUACAGGUCUUCCCUGAAAGCUUCAAAAAUGUUUAAAUCCUUAAGUAGGUAGGGCUCUUAAUAGAUUUUGCAUAGCAGCUUAUGAGAUAAUCUGAAUUAAAAAUAUGGGUAUUCUUCCAUGUUUUUGAAAACAUACAAAUAUAUCCACAUGCAUAUAAAUUAAACAAAAAGACCUGGAGGUUCUCCUG
rnacentral:lncRNA from 1 species